CGCCAACUAGCUAGCCCACCCCUACAAGAACAACAAUUCAAUCUAAAUAAACCCAAACACACGCCACCCCAGUUAAACAAAUCAUUUUACCCCCCUAGUAUGGGCGACAGAAAAGGAACUAUUGGAGCGAUAGAGAAAGUACCGCAAGGGAACGCUGAAAAAGUAAAUGAAAAAAACCAGUGAAGCCUAAAAAAGCAGAGAUUUUACCUCGUACCUUUUGCAUCAUGAUUUAGCCAGUACUACCCAAGCAAAGAGAACUUUAGUUUGAGCCCCCGAAACUACGUGAGCUACUCCAAGACAGCCUAUCAAUAGGGCAAACCCGUCUCUGUGGCAAAAGAGUGGGAAGAGCUUUGAGUAGAGGUGACAGACCUACCGAACCUAGUUAUAGCUGGUUGCCUGAGAAUUGGAUAGGAGUUCAGCCUCCAGGUUUCUUUCUUCGCCACGGUUAAGUCCUCAUACCGAUACCUUUCAAAGAAGCCUAGAGAGUUAAUCAAAGGGGGUACAGCCCCUUUGAGACAAGAUACAACUUUUCCAGGAGGGUAAAGAUCAUAUUUAUUCAAGGUUACAAUGCCCAGGUGGGCCUAAGAGCAGCCAUCCUAGUAGAAAGCGUUAAAGCUCAAGCAUUAAACUCUACCCAUAUAUUUCGAUAAUCAAGUCCCAACCCCCUAACAUUAUCAGGCCAUCUCAUGCCCCCAUGAGAGCGCUUAUGCUAAUAUGAGUAACAAGAGAGCAUCCGCCUCUCUCCUUGCACACGUGUAAAUCGGAACGAACCCCCACCGAAAUUUAACGGCCCCAAACAAAGAGGGUAAUGAACAACAAGCGAACAACCAGAAAACCAUCCAACAUACAACCGUUAACCCUACACUGGUGUGCCUAAAAGGAAAGACUAAAAGAAAAAGAAGGAACUCGGCAAACAAUAAAAGCCUCGCCUGUUUACCAAAAACAUCGCCUCUUGCAAAAACAAAGAAUAAGAGGUCCCGCCUGCCCUGUGACUAUAUGUUCAACGGCCGCGGUAUUUUAACCGUGCGAAGGUAGCGCAAUCACUUGUCUUUUAAAUGGAGACCUGUAUGAAUGGCAUUACGAGGGCUUAACUGUCUCCUUUUUCAAGUCAGUGAAAUUGAUCUCCCCGUGCAGAAGCGGGGAUACAUCUAUAAGACGAGAAGACCCUAUGGAGCUUUAGACACCAAGACAUAUCACGUUAAACACCCCUGAAUAAAGGACUAAACCGAGUGACCCAUGUCCCUAUGUCUUUGGUUGGGGCGACCACGGGGAAAUAAAAAACCCCCGAGUGGACAGGGAGUUUGACCUCCUAAAACCAAGAGCUGCAGCUCUAAGAAACAGAAUUUCUGACCUAUAAGAUCCGGCAACGCCGAUCAACGGACCGAGUUACCCUAGGGAUAACAGCGCAAUCCCCUUUUAGAGCCCAUAUCGACAAGGGGGUUUACGACCUCGAUGUUGGAUCAGGACAUCCUAAUGGUGCAGCCGCUGUUAAGGGUUCGUUUGUUCAACGAUUAAAGUCCUACGUGAUCUGAGUUCAGACCGGAGCAAUCCAGGUCAGUUUCUAUCUAUAAAAUGUUCUUUUCUAGUACGAAAGGACCGAAGAGAAGAGGCCUAUACUCAAAGCACGCCUCACCCCUCCUGUUGAAAACAACUAAAAUAGGCAAAAGGGCAUAUCCCUUAUGUCUAAGAUAAUGGCAU
rnacentral:rRNA from 2 species